AUUGAACGCUGGCGGCAUGCUUUACACAUGCAAGUCGAACGGUAACAGGCCGCAAGGUGCUGACGAGUGGCGAACGGGUGAGUAAUGCAUCGGAACGUGCCCAGUCGUGGGGGAUAACGCAGCGAAAGCUGCGCUAAUACCGCAUACGAUCUCUGGAUGAAAGCGGGGGACCGAAAGGCCUCGCGCGAUUGGAGCGGCCGAUGUCAGAUUAGGUAGGUGGUGGGGUAAAGGCCCACCAAGCCAACGAUCUGUAGCUGGUCUGAGAGGACGACCAGCCACACGGGGAAUGAGACCCGGCCCAGACUCCUGCGGGAGGCAGCAGUGGGGAAUUUUGGACAAUGGGCCCAAGCCUGAUCCAGCAAUGCCGCGUGCAGGAAGAAGGCCUUCGGGUUGUAAACUGCUUCUGUACGGAACGAAACGGUCCUGGUUAAUACCUGGGGCUAAUGACGGUACCGUAAGAAUAAGCACCGGCUAACUACGUGCCAGCCGCCGCGGUAAGAC
rnacentral:rRNA from 1 species